UGCGCAGGCGGAGCGAUCAGUCAGUGGUGAAAUCCUACGGCUCAACCGUAGAACUGCCAUUGAUACUGUCGUUCUUGAGUAUAGUUGAAGUGGGCGGAAUGUGUCAUGUAGCGGUGAAAUGCAUAGAUAUGACACAGAACACUAAUCGCGAAGGCAGCUCACUAAACUACUACUGACGCUCAGGCACGAAAGCGUGGGGAGCGAACAGGAUUAGAUACCCUGGUAGUCC
rnacentral:rRNA from 1 species